AUGAAGGCCCCCGUUCAGCUCCUUGGACUCCUGUUACUCUCACUCCCAGGUGCCAUAUGUGACAUCCAGAUGACCCAGUCUCCAUCCUCCCUGAAUGCAUCUCUGGGAGACAAAAUCACUAUCACCUGCAGGGCCAGUCAGGGCAUUAGCAAUUAUGUAAACUGGUACCAGCAGAAACCAGGAAAAUCUCCUAAGCUACUGAUCUAUUAUUCAAAUAGCUUGGCAGAUGGGAUCCCAUCUAGGUUCAGUGGCAGUGGGUCUGGGACAGAUUUUUCUCUCACCAUCAGCAGGCUGGAGUCUGAAGACAUUGCAACUUAUUACUGUCAACAGGGUUAUAAUUAUCCUCCAUAUGCCAUCAACAGCAUGCAGCCUAAAGAUGUUGUAGCUUACUACUUUCAACUAGGAAAGAGCUUAUCUUCCAAAUUGAUAUAA